rnacentral:rRNA from 1 species
AUUGAACGCUGGCGGCAGGCCUAACACAUGCAAGUCGAGCGAGCGGCGGACGGGUGAGUAAUGUCUGGGAAACUGCCUGUUGGAGGGGGGUAACUACUGGAAACGGUAGCUAAUACCGCAUACCAUCAGAUGUGCCCAGAUGGGAUUAGCUAGUAGGUGGGGUAACGGCUCACCUAGGCGACGAUCCCUAGCUGUUCUGAGGGGAUGACCGGCCACACUGGAACUGAGACACGGCCCAGACUCCUACGGGAGGCAGCAGUGGGGAAUAUUGCACAAUGGGCGAAAGCCUGAUGCAGCCAUGCCGCGUGUGUGAAGAAGGCCUUCGGGUUGUAAAGUUCUUUCGGUAGCGAGGCGGUAACUACCGAAGAAGCACCGGCUAACUCCGUGCCAGCAGCCGCGGUAAUAC